rnacentral:rRNA from 1 species
UACGUAGGCAGCAAGCGUUGUUCGGAGUUACUAGGCGUAAAGGGUGCGUAGGCGGGCAUGUAAGUCAGUGGUGAAAUCUUCAAGCUUAACUUGGAAACUGCCAUUGAUACUAUGUGUCUUGAAUGUUCUGGAGGUUAGCGGAAUAUGUCAUGUAGCGGUGAAAUGCUUAGAUAUGACAUAGAACACCUAUUGCGAAGGCAGCUAACUACGGAAAUAUUGACGCUGAGGCACGAAAGCGUGGGGAUCAAACAGG